rnacentral:rRNA from 1 species
UACGGAGGGGGCUAGCGUUGUUCGGAAUUACUGGGCGUAAAGCGUACGUAGGCGGCUUUGUAAGUUAGAGGUGAAAGCCCCGGGCUCAACCUGGGAAUUGCAUUCGAGACUGCAUAGCUAGGGUGCGGAAGAGGGAAGCGGAAUUUCCGGUGUAGCGGUGAAAUGCGUAGAUAUCGGAAGGAACACCAGUGGCGAAAAGCGGCUUCCUGGUCCAGCACCGACGUCAGGCACGAAAGCGUCGGGGAGCAAACAGG